CCCUUCGGGGGUACUCGAGCGGCGAACGGGUGAGUAACACGUGAGCAACCUGCCCCUGACUCUGGGAUAAGCCCGGGAAACUGGGUCUAAUACCGGAUAUGACCACUCCAGGCAUCUGGUGGUGGUGGAAAGUUUUUCGGUUGGGGAUGGGCUCGCGGCCUAUCAGCUUGUUGGUGGGGUGAUGGCCUACCAAGGCGACGACGGGUAACCGGCCUGAGAGGGCGACCGGUCACACUGGGACUGAGACACGGCCCAGACUCCUACGGGAGGCAGCAGUGGGGAAUAUUGCGCAAUGGGCGGAAGCCUGACGCAGCGACGCCGCGUGGGGGAUGACGGCCUUCGGGUUGUAAACCCCUUUCAGCAGGGACGAAGCUAACGUGACGGUACCUGCAGAAGAAGCGCCGGCUAACUACGUGCCAGCAGCCGCGGUAAUACGUAGGGCGCAAGCGUUGUCCGGAAUUAUUGGGCGUAAAGAGCUCGUAGGCGGUUUGUCGCGUCUGUCGUGAAAGCCCACGGCUUAACCGUGGGUCUGCGGUGGAUACGGGCAGACUAGAGGCAGGUAGGGGAGAAUGGAAUUCCCGGUGUAGCGGUGAAAUGCGCAGAUAUCGGGAGGAACACCGGUGGCGAAGGCGGUUCUCUGGGCCUGUACUGACGCUGAGGAGCGAAAGCGUGGGGAGCGAACAGGAUUAGAUACCCUGGUAGUCCACGCCGUAAACGUUGGGCGCUAGGUGU
rnacentral:rRNA from 1 species